GUUUCAGCAGGUAUGCGAACGCUUUUGCCGUAU
rnacentral:rRNA from 1 species